CAGCAGCCGCGGGAAUACAGAGGGUGCGAGCGUUAAUCGGAUUUACUGGGCGUAAAGCGUGCGUAGGCGGCUAAUUGAGUCGGAUGUGAAAUCCCCGAGCUUAACUUGGGAAUUGCAUUCGAUACUGGUUAGCUAGAGUGUGGGAGAGGAUGGUAGAAUUCCAGGUGUAGCGGUGAAAUGCGUAGAGAUCUGGAGGAAUACCGAUGGCGAAGGCAGCCAUCUGGCCUAACACUGACGCUGAGGUACGAAAGCAUGGGGAGCAAACAGGAUUAGAUACCCGUGUAGUCCCUGUCUCUUAUAC
rnacentral:rRNA from 1 species